UUAAUCUAUUCCAUUUUCAUUUUCUUUUUAUUUCCAUUUUAUUUUCUGCCUUGAUUUUAAUUAUUUAAAAAUAUUUUCUUUAUUCAUAAAAAUACCAAAAAAUAUUUUCCAUAUUUAUUAAUGUUUUAUUUAAUUUUAUUUAAUUUUUAUUUUCAUAUUUAUUUAAUGUUAAUAUUUUAUUUUAAUUAUUUAUUUCAAGUGGAUCAUUUUAACACACAUUCAUUUCUUGAUUUUAUUUUCAUGACUUAGAAUUAUUUUUAGUUCUUGAUUUUUGGGAUGAAUGUUGACCACUGUCCCAUGGUCAACCUGACCUUUUCUUGAAUUUUUAUUUCACAAUUUUCUAUUUAUUUGAUAAUUAUUU
rnacentral:lncRNA from 1 species